rnacentral:rRNA from 1 species
AAUGGGCGCAAGCCUGAUCCAGCUAUCCCGCGUGCAGGAUGACGGCCUAUGGGUUGUAAACUGCUUUUGUACAGGAAGAACGCCCUUAUUUAUGAGGGCCUGACGGUACUGUAAGAAUAAGCACCGGCUAACUCCGUGCCAGCAGCCGCGGUAAUACGGAGGGUGCAAGCGUUAUCCGGAAUCACUGGGUUUAAAGGGUGCGUAGGCGGCGCUAUAAGUCAGAGGUGAAAGGCCACAGCUUAACUGUGGGACUGCCUUUGAUACUGUAGUGCUUGAAUUAGGCUGAGGUCGGCGGAAUGUGACAUGUAGCGGUGAAAUGCUUAGAUAUGUCAUAGAACACCAAUUGCGAAGGCAGCUGACUAGACCUUAAUUGACGCUGAGGCACGAAAGCGUGGGGAGCGAACAGGAUU